rnacentral:rRNA from 1 species
AACGUAGGACACAAGCGUUAUCCGGAGUUACUGGGCGUAAAGCGCGCGCAGGCGGUUUGUUAAGUUCGCUAUGAAAGCACCUGGCUAAACUGGGUGAGGCUGGCGGAUACUGGCAAGCUAGAGUAAGGCAGAGGCAGAUGGAAUUCCGCGUGUAGUGGUGAAAUGCGUAGAGAUGCGGAGGAACACCAGUGGCGAAGGCGGUCUGCUGGGCCUUAACUGACGCUGAGGCGCGAAAGCGUGGGUAGCGAAC